rnacentral:rRNA from 1 species
UACGGGGGGAGCAAGCGUUGUUCGGAUUUACUGGGCGUAAAGGGCUCGUAGGCGGCCAACUAAGUCAUACGUGAAAUCCCUCAGCUUAACUGGGGAACUGCGUGUGAUACUGGAUGGCUUGGAUUCGGGAGAGGAAUGCGGAAUUCCAGGUGUAGCGGUGAAAUGCGUAGAUAUCUGGAGGAACACCGGUGGCGAAGGCGGCAUCCUGGACCGGUAUUGACGCUGAUGCGCGAAAGCCAGGGGAGACAAAGCGGG